UACGUAGGGAGCAAGCGUUGUCCGGAGUCAUUGGGCGUAAAGCGCGCGUAGGCGGCUUCGUAAGUCCGUUGUGAAAGUCAAAGGCUCAACCUUUGAAAGCCGAUGGAUACUGUGAAGCUAGAGUACGGAAGAGGCGAGUGGAAUUCCUGGUGUAGCGGUGGAAUGCGCAGAUAUCAGGAGGAACACCAAUAGCGAAGGCAGCUCGCUGGGACGUUACUGACGCUGAGGCGCGAAAGCGUGGGGAGCAAACAGG
rnacentral:rRNA from 1 species